rnacentral:rRNA from 1 species
GACGAACGCUGGCGGCGUGCUUAACACAUGCAAGUCGAACGGAAAGGCCCUGCUUUUGUGGGGUGCUCGAGUGGCGAACGGGUGAGUAACACGUGAGUAACCUGCCCUUGACUUUGGGAUAACUUCAGGAAACUGGGGCUAAUACCGGAUAGGAGCUCCUGCUGCAUGGUGGGGGUUGGAAAGUUUCGGCGGUUGGGGAUGGACUCGCGGCUUAUCAGCUUGUUGGUGGGGUAGUGGCUUACCAAGGCUUUGACGGGUAGCCGGCCUGAGAGGGUGACCGGCCACAUUGGGACUGGGGUACGGCCCAGACUCCUACGGGAGGCAGCAGUGGGGAAUAUUGCACAAUGGGCGGAAGCCUGAUGCAGCAACGCCGCGUGCGGGAUGACGGCCUUCGGGUUGUAAACCGCUUUCGCCUGUGACGGAGCGUGAGUGACGGUAAUGGGUAAAGAAGCACCGGCUAACUACGUG